CCGAUCGUCGCCUUUUGUGGCAGAGCUUUUAAAGAAAUAUUCUAUCCCAAUGCCAAUUCCUUGCUGCCUUAAACCAUUCGAAUAGGACAAAAACUUUCUCCAUGACCCAGCCUUCCACAUAAGAAACAAAAAGUCAUUAACUUUUCAUAUUUGAAAAUCGCAAAAAUUUCUUUUGCUUUUGCUAUCAUGAGUUUUUUCUUCCGUUUCAGAGGAUGGCGAAUAUCCACCAAAACCCGAAUUCUCAUAAAAUUCUUUAGUCUCG
rnacentral:lncRNA from 1 species